UACGGGGGGAGCAAGCGUUGUUCGGAUUUACUGGGCGUAAAGGGCGCGUAGGCGGUCAGCACAAGUCAGUUGUGAAAUCUCCGAGCUUAACUCGGAAAGGUCAACUGAAACUGUGCGACUAGAGUGCGGAAGGGGCAACUGGAAUUCUCGGUGUAGCGGUGAAAUGCGUAAAUAUCGAGAGGAACACCUGCGGCGAAGGCGGGUUGCUGGGCCGACACUGACGCUGAUGCGCGAAAGCCAGGGGAGCGAACGGG
rnacentral:rRNA from 1 species